GACAGAGGGUGCAAACGUUGUUCGGAAUUACUGGGCGUAAAGCGCGUGUAGGCGGCUUGGCAAGUCGGGUGUGAAAGCCCUGGGCUCAACCUAGGAAGUGCACUCGAAACUGCCUCGCUUGAGUAUCGGAGAGGAAAGCGGAAUUCUCGGUGUAGAGGUGAAAUUCGUAGAUAUCGAGAGGAACACCGGUGGCGAAGGCGGCUUUCUGGACGGUCACUGACGCUGAGACGCGAAAGCGUGGGGAGCAAACAGG
rnacentral:misc_RNA from 1 species